CUCAUUCUGCCACAACAAAGCAGAUAUCUCUUAAGUGCUUACUAAGAAGCCCAUGUGACUUUCACAUCUGCCUAUGCACCUGUCUGCAACUACCCCAGAGUAUAAUAGACUGUUCUCUUCCACCUUUUAAAUCUCAUUCAUGCAAGUGCCUCCUACUGGAAAACUGUAAUCCAGAAUCAUUUCGGGGAGAGGAUUCUGGGAAACUGUUCACUGGCUUCCCUUCUGUGAUACAAAAAGAGGAUCUUAAAGCAGCUUGGUCGUUGUGGUAGGCAGAAAAAUUGCCUUCCAGAGAUGUUCGAUCCCUGCAACCUGUGAAUAUAUUACUUUAUAUGCGAACAGAAACUUCAGAGAUGGUAUUAAGUUUACUUUAAAAAUAGAGAAAACAUCCUGGAUUAUUCACAUGAUCCUAGUGUGAUCACAUGUGUCCUUAUUAAAACUGGAAGAGGGAGACAGAAGACUGAGUCAGAGAGAUGCAAGAAAAUUCAAAGUGUGAGAGGGACUCCUACCCACCAUUGCUGGUGUGAAAGAUAGAGAAAAGGGGCCAGAAGCCAAGGCAUGGAGGCAGCAUCUACAAGCUAGAUAUCACCUUCAUCUGACAGCCUCAAAGGAAACAGGAAUGCUAGUGCUACAAUUGCAACAACCUGAAUGUACAAUAAAGCAAUUCUCGACCGGGCACAGUGGCUCAUGCUUGUAAUCCCGGCACUUUGGGAGGUCGAAGCAGGCGGAUCACCUGAGGUUGGGAGUUCGAGACCAGCCUGGCCAACAUGGAGAAACCCAUCUCUACUAAAAAUACAAAAUUAGCUGGGCGUGGUGGUGCACACCUGUAAACCCAGCUACUCGGGAGCCUGAGGCAGGAGAAUUGCUUGAACCCGGGAGGCAGAGAUUGUGGUGAGCCAAAAUCUUGCCGUUGCAUUCCACCCUGGGCAACAAGAGCAAAACUUCAUCUCAAAACAAAAAAAAAACAAAACAAAACAAAACAAAAAAACCAAUUCUCACUUAGAGCCUUUAGAAAGGAACAGAGCUCUACUGACUCCUUCAUUUCUGCUUGGUGAGAAAUUCAUCUGACUUUUGCCCUAGAGAACUGAAGGUAUUAGAGACAGACUUGUAACUCCUUCAGCUCCUGCGGUAUCUUCAGCUUCAUCUUCUCUGACUGUUGGGCCAGGUGUGUGUUUAGCUUCCCGAUGAAGGACAUUGACUUCUCUUGCACUUCAUCUGCAUCAUCCAAGUUGAAGGUUUAGAGGUCGCGGGAAACUGAUGUGGAUUUCUGCUUAUCUUUGGGAAUUCUGGUUAUCCCUUUUCUCCACCAUUUUGCAGGCAUCUUUCCUUCCUUACUGCCUGUCCUGCUGUCUUCAGAGUAAACACAAGACUCAGAAGUAAUGGGAAAAUAUAGAUUUCUUUACCACUUCCUACAAUAGCAUAUAAUCAAAUAAUGCCUAUAAUAAAUGCUUUAUUCUAUAUUACUUGUAGUGGUUCUGUUGCAAUUGUGAUACAUGUCUGGUUUCAUAAUGUUUCCAGAUAGUCUCUUACAUCUUAUCAGCCUGAACAAUAUUAUUGCCUGCAUAGAUUCCCCACAUGGCAAAUCUACAUGCAGUUGUCCCAGAAAAUAAAAGCUGUCCCAGACAGCCUUUCCAACUUUUAUCUUCUGACAAUAUUAUCUCACAACAACAGAUUACACCUUAGCUACUCCCUUAAAUCACAUUUU
rnacentral:lncRNA from 1 species